AAAAUACCUGACCGGGACCCCUCAAAAUACUAGAGUCAUCAAGAGCUCGGGAUAUGCGAGAGCUGCUGUGGCCAAGAGAAGCCUCUGGAGAGAAGACAGUGGCAUGGAAUUCGACUGUGGGGGGGUCCUGGAGCAGAAAGGGAUCAGGUGAACAAAGGAAGUCUGGUGAAACAACUGUAGAAGUUUCUGUGGGUAAUAAUUACUGUUGGCUGUGGCGACACUCACUGGAACCCUGACACCCAGGAGGCUGAGGCAGAAGGAUGCUAAGUUUGAGACCAGCUUGGGCUACGUAGACUCUGGUUCGAAGAACAACCACCUCCACCACCACUCAUGGCAAUAAAUGUCCGAUGUCCUGGAUAGAGAAGCUGAUGGGGGAGUCUUGGUACAGUUCUAAUUUGUAUAUGAAUCUACAACUCCUCCGAAAUGCAUUCUGGUGUUUGUGUUUCUAAAUCAUGGUCUCUAACAUGGGCACAGGGAGGCAUACCAGUAAUCCAGCCCUCACGAGGCAGAUACCAAAAGAUCAUGAGUUCGAGGCUAGCUUAACCUACAUAGUGGGAGCCCAUCCCCCAAAAAAGUAAAUAAGACCCCGCUAGGCGCCUCUAGAGGGUGAAGCAUUCAGGACCGCCUGACAGGCCCAGAAUUUCCUUCCCUGGAACUCAUGUAAAGCUGCAAGGAGAGAAGUGACUCUCGUUCUCUGACCUUCCCAGGCAUAGCAAGGAAUGGGCAUCCCCCACCCCCACCCCCAUAUACACGUACAAUAAUGAUAAAGCAAAUAUUUUAAAAGCAAGUAAAUAAAAGCAACCAGAAAGCAACCAUCGCCCGAGCUGCCGCGCCCCUCCCUGGCUUUUUCCAUUUGUACCUUUGGCCAUUUAAACUGCUGUACACUGACCUCACAAAGUCUGUGACCUGUACCCCGUCCGUCUCUGGGAUUUAAACUCUAUUAUAAAGGCUUCUGCCUGUCCGCUGCUGUGUGCCCAGAACCUCAAUCAGUCUGACAAUAAAUAUUUGUUGAAUGAUAAA
rnacentral:lncRNA from 1 species